rnacentral:rRNA from 1 species
GGUAAAGCUUUUGCGGUUUGGGAUGGGCCUGCGUCCUAUCANGUAGUUGGUGAGGUAAAUGCUCACCAAGCCUAUGACGGGUAGCUGGUCUGAGAGGAUGGUCAGCCAGACUGGGACUGCGACACGGCCCAGACUCCUACGGGAGGCAGCAACUAGGAAUUGUGCGCAAUGGACGAAAGUCUGACGCCGCGACAUCGCGUGGAGGAUGAAGGUCUUCGGAUUGUAAACUCCUUUUCUUACCGAACAAGUUCUGAGUGUAGGUAAGGAAUAAGUGCCUGCUAACCACGUGCCAGAAGCAUCGGUAAUACGUGGGGCACGAGCGUUAUCCGGAUUUACUGGGCGUAAAGAGAAGCGUAGGCGGCUCAAUAAGUUUGGUGUUAAAUCUUCCGGCUCAACCGGAAACAAGCACCGAAAACUAUCGAGAUUGAGUCGAGUAGGGAAGAGGGGAAUUCCUGGUGGAGCGGUUAAAUGCGUAGAUCUCAGGAGGAAUACCAAUGGCGAAGGCACCUCUUUGGACUCGUACUGACGCUGAGGCUCGAAAGCGUGGGUAGCAAAACGGAUUAGAUACCCGUGUAGUCCACGCCGUAAACGAUCCCUGUUAGAUGU